CCCUUCUGUUUAUCCCCCACAAACCGAGCUUGAAGCUCUCCUCUCUUUUCUCUCUCCUUGCCAUGGCCGGCUAUCACUGUCGUCGGCCGAUCUCCCUCACCGGAGCAAUACCGGCCAAUCCCUCGCGCCAUCGAGCUUGCCUCGAUGAGAGGAAUCCAUUUUUCCCCUUUCCCCUCUUCCUCCACCUCUGAAUCAAACCUCACCGGAGCUCUCUCUCUCCUCCCGGUUCACGACCUUCCAUCCGCCGUUCCGGCUAUUUCCCUUACUCCCUUUUCCGGCCACUGCCAUCCCUAGGUGCCUUGCAGUCGGGAACACCACUGGCCGCCGGCGUCACCGCCUCCUCGCCACCGGAGCCCGGCGCCCCCUCUCCUCCUCCUCUCUGUUCGACCGAGGAGAAAAAGAAGAAAGAGACGGGAAGAAGAAGAAGAAGAGGAGAAAAAGAAAAAGAAAAAGGAAUCCCUGACAGUAGAGUCUAUUUUAUAUGGAUGGCAACCUGUGGUAUUUCAAGCAUCAGAUAAUCAGGUUGCCUAUUUCGGAUUUAUUUGCGUUGGAGCAAGGCAAGUUAUUAUUCCUCCCCUUGAGCAUAAUUACCCUAUAUUCUAUAUCCCUUUUCUAUGCAUUAGUCAUUCAUGAUUUUGAAUGCAUAACCUGAACAUAUAGCAAACCAGAUAUGCUAGCUUUUGCUUAGCCCUGCCUAGUUAGAUUAUGCACAAAAUUUAAUGAACUUAGAUUGGGAUAGUAUGGUAGAAAUGGUUGAUUUCCGGGUGGCUAGUACUGUUCCAACCGACAUAAGAUUGCCAAAGUACAUGUGAAGAACAUACGAGUACGACCGCAAUUCUCGUAUGGGCAUAGACCUAGCUGAUUAAGUUAUCUAGCAAAGGUGGUACCUCUGUGUAGUGGUUCUUAUUUAAGUCCUCGCGCAGGAGGCAAAUUUACGCCGCGAAGGGCGAUUGUGAUAUUUACCGAGGCGCAGGUAAAUAUAUGAGAUGAAUUGUGAUAUCACGAACUGUUUGUAAACCCUGAUUGCGAUGACAUGGUGUCAUACAAUCAGUUCUCUCUAAAGGCCUCGGGAACGCUAGAACUCCUCUCGCUGCUGAUAACGUUACGUUCAGAGCGCAUGGGGACUAGAGUUCAUGGAACAAGUACCACUGAUGUUAGUGACCGAAAAGCUUUGCCAUGACAAGGCUAAUGUGUUUGGCACGUCAUGGAUUGCGGGUAAAGCGUACAUCUACUGUAGUAUGAAUAUUAUUAAAACUAUUUGAAUAGCCGUGGUCGCGGUUAUCGGGCAUUGGGACUCACAAUGGCAUCUUGGUUACAAACAUAAUUUCAAACUUUAUUAAAUACUGUUGCAUUUAAAACAUUAUAGACUUUCCUUCUAUAUUCUCUGCUUUCUGCAAGUAAAUCUAACCCUACUCAAAUAUUAUUAUUUCAUGCAUUCGUUGUUGAUUAAUAUAAUAGCUUGCUGAGUACGUUGUACUCACCCUUGCUUUAACCCCACCUUUUUCAGAGUCAUUUUAGAGUUCUUACCGAAGCUGGGAGUUCAAUCAUAUAAGUUAAUCUCAUUUUAACUUAGUUCUCAAGUAUAGAUUAGAUAGAUGGUUUAAGUCUAUAGCAAAACACUAGAGUUGAGUCAUCGUAUAGCUUCUGCUGUAAUAGUUAGCCACAAGUUUGUAAAUACCCUAUUAUUUUAUGUAAAGGAAUCUCCUUUGGAGCCUUGUCAAAAUAUAUGCAAUGAAGAACCAGAUUGUUGAACCUA